rnacentral:piRNA from 1 species
UUAUAGUGAAAAUACUGGAGGGCACAUAC